rnacentral:lncRNA from 1 species
GGGGCGGUCUCAGCAGCCGGCUGUGAUGAGAAGCGGGCAGUCAGGCUGCAUGGAGGGAAUCUGGGCGGCUGGCCAUUGUCUGUGAAGGGGCAGCCUGACAGCAGCUGGAGGACGUGCACCCGGAGCAGACGCUCCCCGGGGGCCGGAUCAGGAGCAGCUCCCACGCUCCACCUGCCGCAGAGAGGCUGGCAAAACUCUGGGGCUUCCUCUCUCCUGCAGAGAGAGCACCGGCAGGUUCAGAGUCUGGCCACCCUCUCUCGGGCCCCGCCGAGAUCUGGGGAGAGCCGGGGGCCUCAAGCGGAUGUGUCCUGAGAGAUUGUCCUCAAGCCCUUGGAUGGAGGUUUCAGCCAAACUCCCCACCAGUGGUGGGUCAGCGACGGCAGGUCAGCCCAGGUCCUUACUUGCAGAAGGAAGGCAGCCAUUCAGGCUGCUGUAGGAACCAGCAGGUGGGAGGGUGGUGACGGAGACCAGCUGGAUCCUGAGGCCAGCUCAUCACUCCCCAAGGAUGCAGCCUUUGGGGGGAUGGUUUGUGCCCUCCCCUGUAAAAUGGGCAUAGAUCAGGGAGUAUGUAGACAUGAAGGGGGCUGAUACUGGCACAUAGCAAACGCUCGCUGCCUGGAGGACAGACCCCCGGUCUCAAAGCUUGUUCCAUGACCGAGUUAGAGGAAGAAGGAAUCCUUUGCAGCCCAGCACUGUGUCCUCUGAUAAGCCUGGUCCCCUGGGCGUUGAGAAGACACGGGGUGGAGCGAAGGGAAAAGGUUAGACCCAGCUGGAGGACACGGUCAUGGAGCCGUGAGAGGAGUGCUAAGAAGACAAUUCCUUUGAAAAUGGGAGCAUGCUAUUGUGGUAUGAAUAGUGUUUGACUCUAGGAGUUCCUGUCAUGGCGCAGCGGAAAUGAAUCCAACUAGGAACCAUGAGGUUGCAGGUGCAAUCCCUGGCCUCGCUCAGUGGGUUAAGGAUCUGGCAUUGCUGUGAGCUGUGGUGUAAGUCACAGACUUGGCUCAGAUCCUGAGUUCCUGGGGCUGUGGGGUAGGCUGGCGGCUGCAGCUCCGAUUUGACCCUAGCCUGGGAACCUCCAUAUGCCGUAGGUGUGGCCCUAAAAAGACCAAAAGACAAAAAAAAAAAAAAGAAAAGUGUUUGACUCUCCACUUAGGAAUCUUGAAUAAUGGGUUUUCUUAGACAUACAUCGCACAAGAACCUACAAAUUUCAGCAGGGAGGUAAAUCUGAGCAUGAGGAGAUUCAGCCUCAAACCUUCCCAGCUACAAAGCUUCCUCUUGAAACAUAAGCUUUUUCCUCCAGCUCAUUUCAUGCUGGUUUUCCAAGUGGGGACAGGCAUGGGUACCCCAUAGCAGAGCUGACCCGAGGUAGAUGGCUGGUGGACAGUGAGGAAGAAUGCCACGGGGCAGCCAAGAAGACUGUGUCAUCCUGCCAUGGGACUUGUGGUGUAACCGGGCACACGGGCCUGUCAACAAGAACGCGGGCCAUGAAAUUUCACCGGAGGCUCUUGCCGAGAAAUGAAGAAGGGACAGCAGAGGGCUUAUGAGUUAGAUGGACAGGCAUCUGGACAAUCCAUGUCACCACAACCAAGAAAAAUGCUUUGCUUAAUUUGAGGACACCCUAAAAGGCCAAAACAUGGAACAAAACUAUCUCUGGUAGCCCCCAAAUUCGCGCAGGUGUGCCGCUGAGUGUGCUUUACGGCGCUGUUAUUCAUUUUUUAAAAACGGGGAAAGAAAGACCCUGUGACUGUCUUCCUAGGUGUGAAGCGCGAGGACUGGCACUGGUCCCCAGUCCACAUUUCAGAGAACGGCCACUGGCUCUGUCCCACCAGCCACCCGGCCUGACAGCGCAUCCUCCAGCCGAUACUGUUAUAGAAGGACUCCCCUUCUCAUCUUCAUUUAACACCGUGCAAGAUAGACAUCCUUGUCCUUUGCUAAAUUGAAGGGAAGAAAACCUUUUCUUGGCUUACAUCCUUUCAGUAACUUUCUACUGAGCACCUACUGCCUGCCAGACGAUAAAGCAAGAAAUAACACACGGCUUUACCUUCAGAAACCUCACAAUAUUGCGGGGGAAUAAAAAAAAAAAAGAAAUUAUGUCAAGACGAUAGUGAGCCAGGUUUUCAGUGUUGACAGGGAAGGGGGCUCCUAACCAGCGGCCACGGAGGGGGACCAACAGGGGCACGACGUCUUGGGAAAGUCUCCUUGAAGGAGCCGAUGCCUUCGAGUCUCUUUCAUCGCCGGCGAAGGGGAUCUAUUUGAGCAAAGUUAGGAAUUCACACAACCCUGCCACGCAUCAGAGCAGGAGGAAAACAUUUCCAAUUAUCUCUCCUGCUUAAGCACCCCAUGCUGUUACACCUGGGGUCCUCAGGACUUAUUUUAAUAAACCCUUUUCCAUUUUGAACAUGCACUCGAUGAAAGUUAAUUAAAAGGGUGUAAA